rnacentral:ncRNA from 1 species
UGAGAUAGAGGACGCGUCACGUCAUCAGUAGUGAUCCCGAUGAUCAGUGCAGUAGAGGGUGAAAUGAAAGGGACUGACGCCGAAGUGAUGUAAAGGCUGCACCCUUUCUGAUCUGGGCGGACGGAAUAAGAUACGGCCGACUGUCGCGAUUACGCGGAGCGCUAUC